rnacentral:tRNA from 1 species
UCCCUGGAGGUCCAGUGGCUAAGACCCUGCACUCCCAAUGCAAAGGGCCCAGGUUCAAGCCCUGGUCAGAGAC